rnacentral:tRNA from 1 species
GGGGCAACGGCGCAUCAGGAAGCGUCACCGCUUGGGCCAACAGGCCAACGAACACAGCGGGACGGAGGUUCGAAUCCUCCUUGCCUCACCA